UAGGGAAUCUUCCACAAUGGACGAAAGUCUGAUGGAGCAACGCCGCGUGAGUGAAGAAGGUUUUCGGAUCGUAAAACUCUGUUGUAAGGGAAGAACACGUACGAGAGUAACUGCUCGUACCUUGACGGUACCUUAUUAGAAAGCCACGGCUAACUACGUGCCAGCAGCCGCGGUAAUACGUAGGUGGCAAGCGUUGUCCGGAAUUAUUGGGCGUAAAGCGCGCGUAGGCGGUUCUUUAAGUCUGAUGUGAAAGCCCACGGCUCAACCGUGGAGGGUCAUUGGAAACUGGAGAACUUGAGUACAGAAGAGGAAAGCGGAAUUCCACGUGUAGCGGUGAAAUGCGUAGAGAUGUGGAGGAACACCAGUGGCGAAGGCGGCUUUCUGGUCUGUAACUGACGCUGAGGCGCGAAAGCGUGGGGAGCAAACAG
rnacentral:rRNA from 1 species